ACCUUGCUCAUCAGUUGUUUCAGCAUUAAUUUUUUGUUUCUGCACAUUUCAUAGCCAAUCAAUUAAUUUCUCUAAACAGUAUAUGGCUCAAAGCAUGCUCAUGAUUUUAUUGAUCAAAAUUUUAAUUAGCAGCCAACAGAGUGUAACUUAGUUUAAAUAUGUAGGUGCUUUUGCGGAUGCUUCCAAACUAUCACCAUCAUGUGCGCACAUAUGAGAAUACACUUAAAACUAAAUUCUUUGGUUUGCACAGAGUGAUACCCUCUAGUGGUCAAAAGGUUCUUCAUAAUGAGAAACAUGUUUUGUACGGAUCCAUAGAAGGUUUGACUUGAAAGGUUUGACUUGAAAGAGUGAUGCAUAUUGACUCAGUACAUUGGGUUUAACCAGGAAUUUUUAUGGAUAUUCUGGAAAACAUCUGAAGAUCCAUGCUUGUCGCUCUUUGGGGGAUUUAUUUGUUGUGAAGAUUUAGAACUUAAUCAUCUCAAGAGAAACAUUUUGACCUUUUGAUUAAGUAGUAGCUCUUUGUUUUAAUCAUGGAGGAUUUGUGAUAUGUGCUUAAUUUGGUUAGUUUGUGUGUAAAACUUGUGAAGAAUUAUCUCAA